rnacentral:rRNA from 1 species
CCCUUAGAUGUCCUGGGCCGCACGCGCGCUACACUGAUGCAUUCAACGAGUCUAAAACCUGGUCUGAGAGGGCUGGGUAAUCUUUUGAAAGUGCAUCGUGAUUGGGAUAGAUGAUUGCAAUUCUUCAUCUUCAACGAGGAAUGCCUAGUAAACGCAAGUCAUCAGCUUGCAUUGAUUACGUCCCUGCCCUUUGUACACACCGCCCGUCGCUCCUACCGAUUGAACGAUCCGAUGAAAACUGUGGAUUGAGAGUCUGAGUGGGUUCGCCUACCUCAACUUUCGAGAAGCGGUUUAAAUCUUAUCGUUUAGAGGAAGGAGAAGUCGUAACA